CCUGUGGAUUUUACUAGAAGUGAAGAAGAGAAAUCAAGGAUUGGAAGCAGAUAUCCAAAAAAUGGUAGUAGCACUUUUAAGAAAUCCUAUGUUGGGGCUGUUGACCUGACUGCUGGCAUAAUGAUUGACGUGAAUAGAAACAAAAGUGGUGAUGAUGUCAAAGAUCUUUCAUCUCCAAGGACUACUAGCAUAUCUACUCAGAACACCUCAACAUGUACAGCAGUUAUAUAUGCCACCACAACAAAUAAGAAAGAUUCUUAUCAACAGUCAGGAAAUGAGGACAUAUUGGCCCCCCAAUCAAAUUAUGUAGCUAAACCUCAAGCAUCAUACCCAUCUUUUCAGUCAAGUGUGCCUACACAAAUGGCAGAUAUAUCAGAUCAGAUGAAAAGUCAUUUGCACAGAGCUGAUUUCCAUUUCUCUAAAACUUCUGUACAACUAAAGAAAGAACAAAGUGAACCUGCUGAAUCAAUAAACACACAUCUUUUGAAUAAGGAGCUUCCAUUUGCAAGCGACACAAGUGUUGAUCCACAUGGCGCUAAUCUCUCUACACAAAUCAGUAAUUCAUCUAAAAUGGUGACCUUCAGUGACCUGCCCCCAAUAUCUAUGCCUCACAUAAAUUUCUCUGAGCAUACAACUUAUCAGCAAGUAGCUCAAAGAUCUGUCAUCAGUAGACAGGUGGUAACACACCAGUCAAUUCCCUUGGCUUCAACUCAGAAUGAAGGGACUGAACCAUUUUUUACUUCAGCUGCUGCUGCUUCAACUAUAGUCUCAAGACCCAAAGGUAUUAUCAAACAAUCAACAGUGGAAAGCUUUGGAGAAGAUUGCACCUCUCACAGUGGGACAGCUACUUUCAUCAGAAAGCCUUUAGCAUUAAACAAUACACUUGUUCAAACCUCAGUUGUUCCAGUUAUAUCAGUUCAAGAUGUAUCCAUACCUGACCAUGGUUUGUCACCUAAUAUUGUGUCUACUGCUGCAAACCUGCCAGUGUCAACUUCUGCCAUUGUACUAGAAUCAGUAGUUGUUGUACCCACAAGUACAACAAACUCUCAAGUUUCCAUGGCAUGUUCAAGACCACUUUCAACAAGUCCUGCUGUCACAACAAGUGUUAUUGAUAGUCAUGAAGUCUCAAAUUCAAGCCCAGCCACAAAGAGGUCAGUCAAAGGUUUGAUAUCAUUGUUCGAUGGAGCAAGCUCACAGCCAGCAAUAGCUAUCUCACAAAGAAGUGAUAAAAUGAUACCGUCAAUUGUCAAACAGUCACAAAAUGUUUGUGUUGAGUUUAACCAAGAAAUGACAACAUCUCCAAACCGGACCGUGACAAAAACAGCAAACAUGACAGUAAUCAGUGGAACCAUAACAUCUACUGUUAAAGCACAUGCAUCAUCAUCCUUCGUUGAUCCACCCACAGUGCAGAUUCCAAGUCCAGCAAGUGAUACACCACCUUCUGUAAUAAGACCACCCGUUGAACUUAAUGAAGUUUCACCAGUUACAGCUCAAGUUUUUCCCACAGACCAGCCUUUAACAAGAAGUGCACUCAUACAAAAUAACAAAACAACCGUUCCUCAGACUGAGGCAUCUGCUCAAAGUUUGGCUCCAACAUUUAGUGGCACAAUUUCUCAGCCAAUGAAUGUUUGUGUUAUUCCAGCAGAGACACAGUCUCAAGAAAAUAUUUCUGGAAGCAUUCCCUUUCCUGAAGUUUCAGUCACAAGUGAUAAAUCCACAAGCCCUGCUACAUCUUCCUCUGUGUCUACAGUUACUCCCUUAACACUUCAAACACAAUUGAAAGAGAUACCAUUUAUGGUUAUAUCUUGCAACCAGACUGAUGCAGGCCAACCAAAUGAAAUGUCAACUCAACAUCAUUCUGCUACAGUCAGUGAAUGUGAUGCCCAGCAUAUGUCAGUUCAAGCCACUUCACAGUUCUCUGUACCUCAAACAGCAGCAGGGUCUCCGUUUGUUUCAACACAAGAUACUCUGAUGGACCGUAUUAGUCAGUUAGAUGUUACUCCCCAGCAGCUUGUUUUGUCUGAGAUGAUGUCUAUUGAAGAGACACCAUCUUUCAUUCAAGUUUCUCCCACUGAGCUAGAGGGACGAUCAUUAAUAAUUUCUGUAUUGGGCCCAAGAAAGAUGCUUAUACCUCACAUCAUGAUUUCAGAGGCUAGCAGUCCUGAAGACUGUCCUAGUGAGGAAGAUACCAUGACAGAUGAACCUGAUACAAUAGAGAAAGAUGAUCCUAUCAUUGACAAGACUCCUCUGGAAAGCAUGGAUGGUUCUCAAGACAAUUUAUCUAUCAAGGUUGUGGAAUCUCAAGAAACUUACAAUCAGAGCAUAAAAAUUAAUCUCUCUAAUAUAGUGGCAUCCCCAGAGGCUCUAACAGAGGUUUCAGAGAUUAAACAUGAUAACUCUAUUGAUGUACUUACCAAUUCUGAUGUAUUUUCAGCACCAUUAAUACCAAGCACCGUUGAACAAAAUGAGAGUAUCUGCCCUGAGGCCAGCUCUUCUGAAAAAACCUAUCCUGAUGAUGAUUACAAGAAGGGUGGCUAUGUGUCUAAUCUGGAAGAUGGUGCAAACACAGAAUCAACAAUAUGUAAAGAGAAAAUAAAAGAUCAUGAGGUAUCCUCUAAAGUAAUGUCUGACAAAUUGAGUAUCAUUUCUGGACCAGUGUCUUCAGAAACAGAAAAUGUACCAUCAGAAGACACCCUAAAAG
ensembl:lncRNA